rnacentral:rRNA from 1 species
UACGGAGGGUGCAAGCGUUAUCCGGAUUCACUGGGUUUAAAGGGUGCGUAGGCGGGUUGGUAAGUCAGUGGUGAAAUCUUCAAGCUUAACUUGGAACUGCCGUUGAUACUAUCAAUCUUGAAUGUUGUGGAGGUAAGCGGAAUAUGUCAUGUAGCGGUGAAAUGCUUAGAUAUGACAUAGAACACCGAUAGCGAAGGCAGCUUGCUACACAAAAAUUGACGCUGAGGCACGAAAGCGUGGGGAUCAAACAGGAGUUAGAAUGA